GAUGAACGCUGGCGGCGUGCCUAAUACAUGCAAGUCGAGCGAACGGACGAGAAGCUUGCUUCUCUGAUGUUAGCGGCGGACGGGUGAGUAACACGUGGAUAACCUCCCUAUAAGACUGGGAUAACUUCGGGAAACCGGAGCUAAUACCGGAUAAUAUUUUGAACCGCAUGGUUCAAAAGUGAAAGACGGUCUUGCUGUCACUUAUAGAUGGAUCCGCGCUGCAUUAGCUAGUUGGUAAGGUAACGGCUUACCAAGGCAACGAUGCAUAGCCGACCUGAGAGGGUGAUCGGCCACACUGGAACUGAGACACGGUCCAGACUCCUACGGGAGGCAGCAGUAGGGAAUCUUCCGCAAUGGGCGAAAGCCUGACGGAGCAACGCCGCGUGAGUGAUGAAGGUCUUCGGAUCGUAAAACUCUGUUAUUAGGGAAGAAAAUAUGUGUAAGUAACUGUGCACAGCUUGACGGUACCUAAUCAGAAAGCAACGGCUAACUACGUG
rnacentral:rRNA from 1 species